GGGAGGCACAGGAUUUCCCAUGGACUCCACAAAGCAGGCCUGGGCAGUCACAGGUACUGGUCCCUGCUUCCUUUGGAAUGAGACUUGCCACACCCAUAAUGGCAGUGGCGGCUUGUCCAAAGCGGCAGCUGCCAUGGCACCGGCUGCAGCAAGGACAAGAACUUGGGCAAAGGUACCACCAGCCGCAGAGGUUUCUGGCCAAAAAAUGGUACCCUAAAGAUGCUGUAACACCCACAAAGACAGAGAGAGGCCACCUCUCCCCAGCUCAACAUGGGCCAGGAGUGACCCUCUGAGCAGCAUCUAUGAACAUUGUAGAAAACUGUGGUCGAGAUGGUGAAGCAGAGACAAAUUUUGGUUCUGACCAUAGACAACCCCUGAGGCCCCUCAAGGUCCCCUGCAGUGGCACUUACACACUCUGAUCUCACAUCAGCAAUAGACCAGGGGCCACACAAGCUGGGAACAUGAGGCUGUGCCAUACUCUGCCACAGGAGCCAGUUGCUGCCUCUCCCUGGGACCUGCACACAGCAUGCCCCAGCAGCUCCAAGGCCCAUGGCUACAUGCAGACAUGAUGAGCUCUGAGGAACUCAGAGACCUUGGCACCUGUUGAAGACAUCUUGAAGGACCCCUGUGCCCAGCCUUGCCUAUACUCUAAGGUGCUCAGCUGUGUGCUUGUGGCAGCCACUUCAGGCCACUGGUGGGGGUGCCUGCUGGUUCCUCACCUGGCUGCAGCUGCUCAUCCACUCUUCAGAACAUGCCUACCACAGGAAGGGCAGAAGCGGGACCCUUUUCGGGGUCUUCCAGAUGAGCAAGAAGCACAGGCACCUCUGGUCCUUUGGGAAGCCUUCAGUGGGUGCCUUAGGACCCCUGAAGAGAAAAAGCCUUCACAGGCUCAACCUUCCUUGUCCAGAAGGUCUCAGAUGUGCGUGAGUCCCCCAGGAGAAACCCCAAAGUGAUACAGAAGGCCCUGGACUGAGCCUUGGGGCCCCUCCUCAGAGACCCAGGCCAGCUACCAGGCAGCUGCUGAGUUAGACCUG